rnacentral:lncRNA from 1 species
AGUCAUGCUCAAAGGAAGAAGCCUAUCUCUUCUUCUGCCUUAAAUUUGAUGAGUUGGAGAAGAAUGAACCUACCACUGAUACACUCUCACAACAGACCCAUGGCCAGCGGUCCCAAUGCGAGUAGGCUUGAAUGGAUCAGGGACCUUCAGUUUGACCCCAACUACCCUGCUAACACGAAACUCACAGAACUCAUUAGGCAGGCCUGUGAGCAGAGCGACAGAGCCACGGGUCACUUCCGCCUGCAUGCCCUGGAGGAGGAGUUUGACUUCACCACAGAGGAGCAGCUGGAGAAGUCCAGACACUUUGGUCUUCUGCACUUGUGGAGCACUCAUGCUGUGGAUGUCAGCCCCUCAAACCCCAUCCCUCUCCACAACAGAGACAUCACUGAACCCAUGUUCGCUGUAAUGCCCUUCUCAUUAUUAGUCUUGUACCAGAUUAGUUUGAGCUGUCUUGCCAAUUCCUACAGCAUGGUCAUUGUCAUGC